UGAGCAAUCUGCCCUUCUCUUCGGAAUAAGCGUUGGAAACGACGUCUAAUGCCGAAUACGACCUCCUUUCGCAUGAUCGGAGGUGGAAAGCUCCGGCGGAGAAGGAUGAGCUCGCGGCCUAUCAGCUAGUUGGUGUGGGUAAUGGCCCACAAGGCGACGACGGGUAGCCGGCCUGAGAGGGUGACCGGCCACACUGGGACUGAGACACGGCCCAGACUCCGUAGGGAGNAGCG
rnacentral:rRNA from 1 species